rnacentral:lncRNA from 1 species
CUGAGAUUUAUCAGUGAUAUUACAUGUAAGACUAGUUUGUUUUUGUUGUUGUUGUCAUAUAGUAUUCCAUAUUACGACCAAACCAUGAUUAAUCUGUUCUUUUCUUGAUUGACAGAGGAGUUUUUUCACCAUGCAGAUAGUAUGAAAUAUGUUGUUAUAAACAUUUUGUACAUGGUUUAUGGUACUCAUAGGUAUUUAUUUUGGGGAGGGGAGGUGUCUCUAACCUGGAGUAUUAAUAGCUGAGUCACAAGGUGUAUGUAUGUUUAACUUUAGUUAGUACUGCCAAUUCCUUUUUAAAGGUGGUUGUAUGAAACUUAUCGUCACAUUAGCCGUUUAUGGAAACUACAGUUGCUCCAUAUCUUUGCUAACACUUGAUAUGUCGUUGUGAUUUUAAUUUGCCUGUCUCUAAUCACUAAAGAGAUUGAGCUCAAUUUAAUUCUCAUUCUGCUUUGGCAGAAUUGACCUCAUGUGACAGAUUAAUCUUGGCCUAGAAUUACUCUUCAUGGUAGGCAACUGACUAGUUGAUGCUCUUAAAAGCUUUUCUUAAAGCGUACAGAUUCUUAUUCUAAAAAUUAGCAAGUGUGUCAUGUGGACAUUUUCCUCAUAUAAUAGCACAGUUAAAAAUCAAUGCCUUUUCUAAAUACAAUUUUUAAAAUAUUUCUUUCAUCUCUCUACCCUGAUAAGUAUUUAGCAAAGGAGUAGAGUAAGUUUAUUGAUGUAAAUGUAUAUCUCAUGAUUAUCAACAACUAAAAUGAAUUCCAACUUUAAUAUUUAGAUACCUCUUAUAUCAAAAGUUACCUAGAAUGGCAUGUGCAAUGAUAAUAUCUCCUUAUUUUUCCAUCCCCACAACCAUUCAGUCUCAUCAUAGAAGAGGGGCAGAAACAAAUUUACUACAUGAAGGUGACAAAUAUGUACAAAGUGGAGUCUGUGAGAAGAGAUGGAUUUAGAUUUUUGGCUUCAUGUUCAGAGACUCUGCAGGUGGAAGAUUCCUUCACAGCUUUUAAUUCACGCUUCUGUCUUCAGCCACGAACAACCCAAAUCUUCCCAAAGCGAUCCCUCUCCAUCUCAUCGGGAGCAUCUCAGUGGAGAAGGUGCAGUGGGGCUAUUGCUUGCUGGCUCCAGGGUGAGGUCACAGUCUCACCCUGCCCCAAGCUGGCACCAGGGGAAGCAACAUGGUUGAUUAACCUUGGCUCUGCUCUGGGAGAGCUCCACCUGGGGUGACUUCUGGUGCUCCAAAUAAUUCCAGUAUCCUCCAGGUCUUUCUGGGGUGCAGUCCUUAAGAACCUGACUGAAAACAAUAUGCACUGAUGACAUUUUCUGUGGUCAGUUUGCUAAGUUAAGCUAUUAUAUACAGCUUAAGAAAUUUUAAAGCCUCCGGCUGCAGGGCUAAAAUGUAGCAGGAAUGCUUAGGAACUGUUUAUAUGCUUGAUUUGUUUUACAGUGUUUUUGGUCUUUAGUUUUGAUUGGAUUGUUUUACUGAAACAUGAAGGGCAUUUAGAAGGCAGGAAAGUGAAUAGGAUACAUUUGCAACAAUAUGCCCUAAAGCAACAUCUUAAUGUCAGAAGUAAAUUAUAACAACUUACAUUACUGAUGACAUACAUUAUAAUUCAAAGCCAAGGGAGCUACAUCAAGGUUGUUCUUACUGUGAUAUAAAAAGAGUUUUCUUUGUAUCUUUUGCAACUAGAUGAAGACCUUUAUUGAUGAAAAUGGUGUCAACAAAAGGUAAUAGAAUACAACACUUAUCUUCUGUAAUGCAUGAAAACAUUUUUUUCCUGAAGCUUCCCAAAGCCUUUGCAUCUAUUUCACUGAAAAUAUUCUUUAUUUCAUAGACAACAUGGAAUGAGUUGCUUCUAGUGUUAUAUAUGUGACUCCCAAGAUGCCAAGAGCAAGUAGGUCUAGAGUUUGACUUGAUUCAUUUCUGAUGUAUUUAAUUGAUAAUGGCACAAACAGUGAUGACAGUUAUAGAAUAAUGCUCAUGACUAUUAAAAUUGCUAGGAGCCUAAGUCAUUUAGAUAUAUUUGUCUACACAGUCUUUAGCCCCUUAAAGAGAAAAACAAAAUACUCUUGCAUGCUCUUCUGGGUUAUCUUUUUAUUGUUGUUUAUUUGAAGAAGGAAUAAUGUUUGUUUAUACUCUCAUUCAAGUCUCUAAACUCUAAAUCAAGGCCUGAGUUAGCUCUCAAAUUAUUAAUAAAAUAGUUAGACACUUUACAAAACCUAAAUUCAUUAUAACUAUAAAAAUAUUAAUGUGAUAUAAGGCCACAUAUUCAAGGAGAAACAUAGAGACAUCACAGGAAUAUUGUCCAACGAAAACGUGAAUCAUGUCUUCUUUGAUUAUGGAGUAUAGAGUCUAAAAAUCAUAUCUUCGGGAGGUAUAAGGAUCCAGUGCGGUAUGCCACAUCGAUCAAAUUAUAUUUGGUACUGACCAAAUGUCAAUUACUGCCUGUGCCUUAUUCUUCGUGUGUGUGUGUGUGUGUGUGUGUGCGUGCACAUUGGUGCAAGCAGGUGGAGCUGAAUUAGACCUUGGUCUCUGGCACUUCUAAACUUCUGACAGGUGCGCAGUGAAGCAUUCCAUCAGGAGAGAUUCAGCCAUUCUUAUGCAGUCGGCCCAGGAGCUGAAUGCAAUAACUUGAAAUUCUUUUAAUUUGAGUUUACUCUUCCAACUCUCCUAUGGGCUUGCCAGCUCCCUCUGCUGGUAUUCUCAGAACCUGGCUAAGAAUCCUGAGUGUCAGAGCUGAAAAGAAUUUGGAGACCAUCUAGAACAUCAGUGGCAGCCAUGGCAGUACACCCUCAGGUCUCCCUUCAGGAGAGAACCAACUAAUAAUGUUCAUAUAUUGUGACUAUAUAUAAUAAUGACUCUAUGAAUUAUGUCUGUGGAUAUGUUGGCAUCAUUGGUUCCCUGGAAAACCUAGAAGAGGAAAUAAACUCUUUUGCUUGUUUUCUUGCUCAUAACAGGGGCUACUGCUGUAGCCUACAGUGAGGGUUCAGGAGAGGUGAAGUCCUUCACCAUUUGGGAUGGUGUGCCUUUGAAUAGAAACUGACUCACGGUUCUGCUUGGGAAUGAAGUGACAAGUGCAUGAGUAUUGGAAAGAAAAUGCGUCGGUCGGGCCUGUAGCCCAUCUCAUGAGAUAUCAGGGUGCUCUGAGCGCUUUGAAAUGAUACUGUGUCAGACAGCAUCACUGAAGGAAAAGCCCAGGUUCAAGUCAGGAGGCUGGAGUUCUAGCAGUGAAUUUACUACGACCACUUAAUAUCUGUAGAAUACUCCUCCCUUCACACAGACGUUUAUGAGACAGGAAGGGCUGAACAGCCAUUUCUCCAAUGAGGACCCUAAAGCCCAAACUUACUGACCUAAGGUUCUUAACUUCCUCUUCAAGAACCUGCAUUCCCUCCUACCACCCCCCAUCAAAAAGGAAAAAAAAGCCAGUGAAGACUCAGGUGUAUGAGGUUUUGUGUUUCCUCCUCCUAUCUUUUGUCAUUAAUUUUUAUAUCAGUAAUAAUCAAACAUAUCUGUAUCCUGGAAACUGCUUAUCUCUCUUUAUGCAAUAAAUUUCGUUGAGAAUGAGUAAGCAUUAAGUUUAACACUGCAUCUUCUAAUCCUUCAUUUCCAUCUGUCUGUGUUUGUCUUUGUCUUUGUGUAUGUGUGUAGGGGGGUGGCGGGUGACAAGAGAAGGUAAAGUUUUUUAAGAGGAUGCUGAUAAAGAAAGGCAAAGAUGAUUCAUUUAGCCAAAUUUGAGUGCAUGUGUGAUUCAGUCAACUUUCUGACGGAUAUCUCCAUGUGCACAGUUCUAAUUCUUCUUUGUCCUAGUUUUUCAAGGAGUGCUAUAGUCUGAAUGUUUGUGUCCCUCUAAAGUCGUAUAUUGAAAUCCUAACCCCCAAGGUAAUGGUAUUAGGAGGUGGGGCUUUUAGAAGUGACUAGGUGACAAGGGUGGGGCCCUCCUGAAUGGCAUUAGUGCUCUUAUAAAAGGGAUCAAAGGGAGCCUUCUGUUUUCCUUCCACCAUGUGAGGACAGCAAAUACCAAAAGGCACCAUCUGUGAACCAAAAAGUGACCUCCACUAGACAUAGCAACUGCCAAUGCCUUGAUCUUGGACUGCCCAAUCUCUAGAACUGUGAGAAAUAAAUUUCUGUUGUUUAUAAGCCACCCAGUUUAUGAUAUGGUGUUGUAGCAGCCUGAACCGACCAAGACAAGCAGUAUAGGUCCCUUCAAUCCUAAGCAAGGUACCAAAGUGUUUUGAAAAAGGGUGAUGAGUAAUGAAAUACUGAGUUGUACAGGCUUGUACUACUUGGGAGAAAAAACUUGUAAACUUAUUGGGAAGUAUCUGUAAGACAGGCAGGGUUUUCCAUGCAUUUUUUGAUGACUUUGAAGGGAGCACAGUCUAUUCCUAUAAAGCAAUGAAGUCAUCAAGUCCAGGUGGCUGAUUUUCUUUCUUAUUUUAAAUAGCCUUUAAGACUGUUUCCCUGUGAGGAAGGCUUAUCUGAUAGUUACUUAACAAGGCAUUUAAAUUUUUAAUAGUUUGCUGAUCAAUUCUAUUAUCAAAAUCAGACAGAGGUGAUGCUACAAUGGUUAAGAUUUGGACUAAGUUGUAGAAGUUCUUUCAAGUCACUAUAAAGCAUACUAUUCUGAAUCUUCACCAUUAAACUCCACGGCACAGACAGUUAUAAAGCCAAAGUAUAAUCAAUCAUAAAUGACCACUCUACCAGUUUCAUUACAUAUAAAGAACUUUCUCAUACAUCUCUCAGUUUACAGUCAUAACAAUCCAAGAAAGCUCACGGCGCAGAGUUGAAUGAGCAGUGUGAUAGGAAUAGCACCUACACCAGCAUUAACUGUACUUUUCUUGUCUUACUUACACACUUUGUUCUAGAUACUGUCCUAUUAUGGAAGAGAUAUUGAUUGUAGUAUGUUGUUCAUAUUUUACUCCUUUUCAUUUAAAUAAAUAUUCAUUAUGAAAACAAGAUUUUUUUUUCCCUAAAAUCUCUACCUUUAAUCUAACUCAUGAAAUCUGAUUGUGUGGAAAUACUCAGGACACAGUAGCCAAAUCACCAUGAAUAUUGAAGAGAAUCGUCUUUCAGCCUAGGAAGGUCUCAAGCCUACAGUGACUGACCAUUGGAAAAUGUAGACACAAAAGCCCCAAACUUCAGAGAAGUGGUUAGAGGCUGGUUAAUGUUGUGUCAGUUUUAUUUGCCCAAUUUUCCCAAACCACACUUUCUUAGAAUCUGGUACAGCAUUCUUGUCUUUUCAGUCAAGUGGCAACCUAGUAAAGGAUUGCAAUCAAAGAUAGAUACAUACAGACAGUCAUGAAAAGAUCACCACAAUGAAGAUAGUGAACAUUCCCAUCACUUCCAAAGGUUUCCUCACGCCCCUUUGAACUCCAGCCUUCCCUCCACACUUCCCUCUUCCCCAGCCCCAGACAACCAUUUUCUACUUUCUGUCACCACAGAUUAGUUUAUUUCUAGAGAUUUACACUAAUUCAAUCAUAUAGUAUGCACUUUUUUAAUCUGACUUUUUUAUUCAGCAUAAUUAUUUUAAUGCUCAUGCAUAUUGAUCAUAUACCAAAAAUUCGUUCCUUUUCGUGGCUGAGUAGUGUUCCAUGGUGGGGAUAUACCACUAUUUCUUUAUCCAUUCAACUACUAAUGGACGUCUGGCUAUUAAAAAUUAAGCUGCUAUGAAUAUUCAUUAGACAUUAUCUUUAGACUUCUUAGUAGCUAAGGAUUUAGCUCUCAAACACAAUUCCCCCCAUUCAUUGUUUUCUCUUGCCAAAAAAGUUGAAUUAUGUGUCAAUUUGGAAUUAUAUCAAUAUUCACUAUUUAUAUUAUUUCUAAAUGCAAAUAUUGGUCAUUGCUAAACCUAAUAAUGGGGACAGCUAAUUUCAUUUUCUCAUACUACCUUUUGUUAAUAGUUGCCUCACUUAUUUAUUCUUAUAUAAAUCUAUAAAUAAUUAUUUCUCAACAUCCAGCAGCCCCUCAAUGCCAUUUUGCAAAUGGUAAAA